rnacentral:antisense_RNA from 1 species
CUGGUACAGAGACUUUAUCUUUCACACUGACUUCAAAUAUCUUUGGGAAUUUGUGCUCUUUAUUUACUGAGUGCUUGAGAAGAAAAGACAAAGCCAGUGGAAUGGUCCGAGUGUGGCAUCCGCUGCAUUUAUAAAGAAUAAGAGCUGCAGUGGGUGUGAUUCUUGGACAGAGUGGCGCUCAUCCUUGUUCCUGCAAUGAAGGACAUGCCAGCCUCCAGGCUCUUUGACAGAUGAUUGGAACUGUGCAAAUAUUAUGGAAGAUAUCCCGUGUCAAGAAGCUGACAGCACACACGUUUGGGAAGGAUUUAGCGGCUGAAGCACUUCUAGAAGACACCACCAAAAUGAAACAGUCUACUAUCAGCAAAGGUACCUGAGUAAACAUUCUGCAAUCUCUAACAAAUGUUUAAUGCAAAUGAAACACACUGAAAACCUAAUUGUCAUGUGAGAAGAAUCCUUCGCUAGUAAUCUGUAGUUAACAUCAUUCAUGUGACUUUUUUGUAUUGCGUCAUUAGCAUUACCCAUGUUUUUUCUCUUUGGUAGGGCCAGAAGGAAAGAUCUUGUUGGCUUAGUGGUAUGAAAACCAGGGAGGGAGGGGAAAUGAGGCUCCUCUCCUUUCUUUUCCCUACUAGAAUGCCAGAGCAAGAGUGUGAAACAGAGCACAGAGCCGUGAUGCUGCCCCCUGCCGGUGGUGCAGGAGAAAGGACUCAACCUCAGUCUACGACUCCUGCCAAGAGUUAUCAGCCACACUAGAAACUAAAGGGUGAAAACAGGGUUUCUCUGCUGCAAUUCCAUCUCUUCCUCUAGAAACUUGUCGUAGGAAUGACUCCCUGUAACUUCCCACACCUGCCUCUUCUUUCCUUAAGUGGUGGCUAACAGAAUCCUUUCCUUCCUCGGUCCUUGCUAAGUGACUGAAUUCAGAAACUCCUGGACAAUAUUACAACCAUCUGUAUUAUUGGUCUUUGGAGCUCUAGACUUAUUUUAGAAAGAAAAAUGUGGCAAAUCAUCCAAGAAUUUCCCUGUGCACAGCAUAGGGAUCUGUUUCUCUUACCAUCAGAAAGGGAUUCAUAGUCAUAAUCAUAUUCGUCCUCCUCAUCUUCCUCUUCCUCAUUAUUGGCAGGUGGGGGGUUGGCAUUCCCACCAUUAUAAGCCUGCACUUGCAUAGAUGCUAACUGAUGAGCCUGUAAAAUAGCAAUAAUUGUAAACUGCAGAUGCCAAGCUACUGAAUUCAUUUAUAACCUUUAAAACUACCCCUGAUGUUUAACACAAUCAUUAAAAGUGGCUUAACCUAUUUUGAUACAUUUGGGAGAGGAGAAAAAAAUCUAGAUUCACUCAAAAUGCAAUGUCAACACUUGGGUGAACGUCAGCAUUCCUACAGGAAGAAUCCUGGAGCUUUUAUAAACAAUCUCCAGAAGACUGUGUGCGGUGCCCAGCUAGCCAGGUUCCCAGGACAACCCCUCCAAGAGAAAGCGCUGGUGAUUUGGAGAACCAGCAUCAAUCCCAAAUGACUGAAGAAGCGAAUCACCCAUCAAUUUUUCAGAAGUAUGUCUCUGUUAAGAAACCAUUUUUUCCCCUUCUUAAAAUAAUAUCUACAGGCUCCUGACCUUGAGAACAAUGUUAGAAUCUCUAUGGACAAAGAGGCCAAAAGAAUUGUUGUUGGUUUAAAUAAAAUUUUUUUCAAACGGC